rfam:Sphaerobolus stellatus SS14 unplaced genomic scaffold SPHSTscaffold_6, whole genome shotgun sequence.
GCCGCGUUGGCCCAAUGGUAAGGCGUCUCUUUCCUAUAUUGGGUUUUCAACAGGAGAAGACUAUGGGUUCGAGUCCCAUACGUGGUA